ensembl:misc_RNA 7SK 7SK RNA
GGAUGUGAGGGCAAUCUGGCUACUACAUCUAUUACCCCAUUGAUUUUCAGAGUUGAUUAGGCAAUCUGGCUGGUGAGGCAGGCAUUCCCUUCCUUCAUCACUGCUCCCUGUGCAUUCUUCCAGAAGCUGGACACUUAGUAAAGAGGAUAACCUUCUUCUAAGAGGAAGUCCAUUCUUCAGUCAAGGGCGUAUGAGUAGCUGUGCUCCCCUUAGAAUUUUUAACAUAGAAUUAUAGAUUUUUAACAUAGAAUCCUAACCUCACUGCAAAACUUGACCAGUGUUGAGAUUAG